rnacentral:rRNA from 1 species
UACGAAGGGGCUAGCGUUGUUCGGAAUCACUGGGCGUAAAGCGUAUGUAGGCGGAUCGUUAAGUCGGGGGUGAAAUCCCGAGGCUCAACCUCGGAACUGCCUUCGAUACUGGCGAUCUUCGAGUCCGGGAGAGGUGAGUGGAACUCCGGAGUGUAGAGGUGAAAUUCGUAGAUAUUCGGAAGAACACCAGUGGCGAAGGCGG